AACAUAUUUGAUAACUUAUGUUUCGGCCAUAAGAUAGGUAGAUUAUCUACCGUAUGUUU
rnacentral:tRNA from 1 species